GUGGUCGCUUCAGCAGCACAUAUACUAAAACUAGAGUGAGACAGAGAAGAUUAGGAUGGCCCCUGCAUAAGGAUGACACACAAAUUUGUAAAGCAUUCCAUAUUUUA
ensembl:snRNA U6 U6 spliceosomal RNA